UCAGUUAAAACUUUCAACAACGGAUCUCUUGGUUCCGGCAUCGAUGAAGAACGCAGCGAAAUGCGAUACGUAAUGUGAAUUGCAGAAUUCAGUGAAUCAUCGAGUCUUUGAACGCACAUUGCGCCCCCUGGUAUUCCGGGGGGCAUGCCUGUCCGAGCGUCAUUGCUGCCCUCAAGCACGGCUUGUGUGUUGGGCCCCGCCCCCCGGUCCCGGGGGGCGGGC
rnacentral:rRNA from 1 species